rnacentral:rRNA from 1 species
GAUGAACGCUGGCGGCGUGCCUAAUACAUGCAAGUCGAGCGAACGGACGAGAAGCUUGCUUUUCUGAUGUUAGCGGCGGACGGGUGAGUAACACGUGGAUAACCUACCUAUAAGACUGGGAUAACUUCGGGAAACCGGAGCUAAUAUCGGAUAAUAUUUUGAACCGCAUGGUUCAAAAGUGAAAGACGGUCUUGCUGUCACUUAUAGAUGGAUCCGCGCUGCAUUAGCUAGUUGGUAAGGUAACGGCUUACCAAGGCAACGAUGCAUAGCCGACCUGAGAGCGUGGUCGCCUACCUGGGAACUGAGACACGGCACAGACUCCUAGGGUAGGACGCAGUAGGGAAUCUUACGCAAGGGGGGAGAGCCGGAUAGAGCAACGUCGCGGGAGGGAUGAAGGUCUUCGGAUGGUAAAACUAUGUUAGUAGUGAAGAACAAAUGUGCAAUUACCUGUGAACAUCUUGACGGUACCGAAUCAGAAAGCCCCGGCUAACUACGUG